GCCGGGUGUGGUGGUGCACGCCUGUAAUCCAGUGGCUCAGGAGGCUGAGGCAGGAGGAUCGGGAGAUCAAAGGCAGCCUCAG
rnacentral:sRNA from 1 species